CCUCUCGUUCUUUUCCUUUCCCGUGGCAAUGGCAGAACCAAGAGAGUGGAUGUGAAUGCUCUAAAUACUUCCCCACUCAGAUGCUUUUCACCGCUCAAACCCAAUCGGCAUCGCUCUUUCUUCGUAAUUUUUGGUUGAGUUAAUUGCACGUUUGAUCAAAUGGUUCGUACAUUCUUUCGCAAUUUGUUGAGAUACCUAUCUUCAGAAGAUGAUAGCGAUGAUGAUCUUGAUGAGGAUACAACAAGGAGUGAAAGAGAUCCCCGAAUUGUUUAUCGUUGGAAGGCCAGAUGUGACAAUUGUGGCGUUGGGCAUAUUGUCCUCUAAAGACUGGCAUUUAAGUCCCUUGCAGAGACCCAACAGGAUCAAAUACAAAGUGGAUAUUACUUGAGAAGGGUACCAAGUGCUUUUGGACCGUUGAUUACACUAUUUCAAUGGUGAAGAUUGAGCGGCAAGAUCGUAAUUAACAGUGAAGGUUAAUGUUGAUUUUUUGUUUUAAAUCUAGCUGCAACGUUUUCCUUUUAAAGUUGUCCUGGCCUGACACAUGAACGAACCGUGUGGUUACAAUUGUGCGUCCUAACCAUUACAACGUCACGUCUAAAACCACCUUUAAUUUAACAGAAGCAUCUAC